GUGUCAGCAGCCGCGGUAAUACAGAGGUGGCGAGCGUUGUUCGGAUUUACUGGGCGUAAAGGGUGCGUAGGCGGCUCCGCGUGUCGGAUGUGAAAUCCCACGGAUCAUCUGUGGAAUGGCAUACGAAACUGCGGGGCUAGAGUGUAGGAGGGGAGGGCGGAAUUCUCGGUGUAGCGGUGAAAUGCGUUGAUAUCGAGAAGAACGCCGGUGGCGAAGGCGGCCCUCUGGACUACAACUGACGCUGAGGCACGAAAGCUAGGGGAGCAAACAGGAUUAGAAACCCCGGUAGUCC
rnacentral:rRNA from 1 species